UACGGAGGGUGCAAGCGUUUAUCCGGAUUUACUGGGUUUAAAGGGUGCGUAGGUGGGUAGGUAAGUCAGUGGUGAAAUCUUCGAGCUUAACUCGGAAACUGCCAUUGAUACUAUUUAUCUUGAAUACUUUGGAGGUAAGCGGAAUAUGUCAUGUAGCGGUGAAAUGCUUAGAUAUGACAUAGAACACCAAUUGCGAAGGCAGCUUACUACACAGUUAUUGACACUGAGGCACGAAAGCGUGGGGGAUCAAACAGG
rnacentral:rRNA from 1 species